CUCGGAGUUUGAUCCUGGCUCAGGAUGAACGCUAGCGGCAGGCUUAACACAUGCAAGUCGAGGGGUAUAGUUCUUCGGAGCUAGAGACCGGCGCACGGGUGCGUAACGCGUAUACAAUCUACCUUUUACAGAGGGAUAGCCCAGAGAAAUUUGGAUUAAUACCUCAUAGUAUGUGAGAAUCGCAUGGUUUUUCACAUUAAAGUUCCAACGGUAAAAGAUGAGCAUGCGUCCCAUUAGCUAGAUGGUAAGGUAA
rnacentral:rRNA from 1 species